CAGCUAUAUCAUGUUGAAACACCGGUUCUCGUACGAUCACCGAAAGUUAAGCAACGUCAAUCCUGGUCAGUACUUAGAUUGGGUGACCACUUGGAAAUGCCAAGUACUGUAAG